UACGUAGGGGGCAAGCGUUGUUCGGAAUUACUGGGCGUAAAGGGCGCGUAGGCGGCACAGCAAGUCGGGAGUGAAAGCCCGGGGGCUCAACCCCGGAACGGCUUUCGAAACUGCUGAGCUAGAGUACAGAAGGGGCAACCGGAAUUCCCAGUGUAGCGGUGAAAUGCGUAGAUAUUGGGAAGAACACCUGAGGCGAAGGCGGGUGCUGGGCUGAUACUGACGCUGAGGCGCGAAAGCAUGGGGAGCGAACAGG
rnacentral:rRNA from 1 species